rnacentral:rRNA from 1 species
AUAAUUUAUCUCCGUGUUGUAGCUAACGCGUUAAGCACUCCGCCUGGGGACUACGGUCGCAAGACUAAAACUCAAAGGAAUUGACGGGGACCCGCACAAGCGGUGGAGCAUGUGGUUUAAUUCGAUGCAACGCGAAAAACCUUACCACUCCUUGACAUGGAGAUUAGAUCCUUCUUAACAGAAGGGCGCAGUUCGGCUGGAUCUCGCACAGGUGCUGCAUGGCUGUCGUCAGCUCGUGUCGUGAGAUGUUGGGUUAAGUCCCGCAACGAGCGUAACCCUCAUCCUUAGUUGCCAGCGGGUUAAGCCGGGCACUUUAAGGAAACUGCCAGUGGUAAACUGGAGGAAGGUGGGGAUGAUGUCAAGUCAGCACGGCCCUUAUGGGGUGGGCUACACACGUGCUACAAUGGUGACUACAAUAGGUUGCAAUGUCGCAAGGCUGAGCUAAUCCGUAAAAGUCAUCUCAGUUCGGAUUGUCCUCUGCAACUCGAGGGCAUGAAGUCGGAAUCGCUAGUAAUCGUGGAUCAGCAUGCCACGGUGAAUACGUUCUCGGGUCUUGUACACACUGCCCGUCACGCCAUGGGAAUUGGCUUAACUCGAAGCUGGUGCGCUAACCGAAA